UCUGGAACUGCCAUCAAAACUUUUCAGCUAGAGUAUGAUAGAGGAAAGUAGAAUUUCUAGUGUAGAGGUGAAAUUCGUAGAUAUUAGAAAGAAUACCAAUUGCGAAGGCAGCUUUCUGGAUCAUUACUGACGCUGAGGAACGAAAGCAUGGGUAGCGAAGAGGAUUAGAUACCCUCGUAGUCCAUGCCGUAAACGAUGUGUGUUAGACGUUGGAAAUUUAUUUUCAGUGUCGCAGCGAAAGCGAUAAACACACCGCCUGGGGAGUACGACCGCAAGGUUAAAACUCAAAUGAAUUGACGGGGACCCGCACAAGUAGUGGAGCAUGUGGUUUAAUUCGAAGAUACGCGCAGAACCUUACCAACACUUGACAUGCUCGUCGCGACUCUAAGAGAUUAGAGUUUUCGGUUCGGCCGGACGAAACACAGGUGCUGCAUGGCUGUCGUCAGCUCGUGUCGUGAGAUGUUGGGUUAAGUCCCGCAACGAGCGCAACCCUCACUUUUAGUUGCCAUCAUUAAGUUGGGCACUCUGAAAGAACUGCCAGUGAUAAGCUGGAGGAAGGUGGGGAUGACGUCAAGUCCUCAUGGCCCUUACGUGUUGGGCUACACACGUGCUACAAUGGUAUCUACAACAGGAAGCAAGACUGCGAAGUUAAGCAAAUCCCUAAAAGAUACCUCAGUUCGGAUUGCACUCUGCAACUCGAGUGCAUGAAGCUGGAAUUACUAGUAAUCGUGGAUCAGCGUGCCACGGUGAAUGCGUUCCCGGGUCUUGUACACACCGCCCGUCACACCAUGGGAGUUGGUUCUACCUUAAGGCAAGGUUUUAAACCCUUGACCACGGUAUAGUCAGCGACUGGGGUGAAGUCGUAACAAGGUAAC
rnacentral:rRNA from 1 species